GACGAACGCUGGCGGCGUGCUUAACACAUGCAAGUCGAACGGAAAGGCCCUGCUUUUGUGGGGUGCUCGAGUGGCGAACGGGUGAGUAACACGUGAGUAACCGGCCCUUGACUUUGGGAGAACUUCAGGAAACUGGGGCUAAGACCGUAUAGGAGCUCCUGCUGCAUUGUGGGGGUUGGAAAGUUUCGGCGGGUGGGGAUGGACUCGCGGCUUAUGAGCUUGUUGGUGGGGUAGUGGCUUACCAAGGCUUUGACGGGUAGCCGGCAUGAGAGGGUGACCGGCGACCUUGGGACUGAGAUACGGCCCAGACGCCUACAGGAGGCAGCAGUGGGGAAUAUUGCCCAAUGGGCGGAAGCCGGAUGAAGAAACGCCGCGUGCGGGAUGACGGCCUUCGGGUUGUAAAAAGCUUCCGCCUGUGACGCAGCGUGAGUGACGGUAAUGGGUAAAGAAGCACCGGCUAACUACGUG
rnacentral:rRNA from 1 species